AGCUGGAUUUUGACGUAAUUUCUUCUGAUGUAGCUAGUAGGUGGCGGAGUUGUAUUUGAAUGUCGGCAGCACCUUGACAGCGAUUAGAUAUCCUCUCUGCUAGUCUUCUUUGAUCCUUGAAUUCUGUGGAGCUCAAAUAGACAACAAAGCUUUGUGGAACUGGUUAAGUGUUAGCAUAAAAUCUCUUUGCUGUUAUCAUGUUGAGCUUCCUCUAAUAAAUAUUACUCUCUUUGGUAGGAUCAUAAAUUUAUUUUUAUAUUUUCAUUUUUAUAGGAUAGGAAUAUAUUUAUUUUAUUUUUAUGCCACCACAGUGAAUGUACUUAUGGGUUUUAUGCCAUGAGCAUACUCACAUGGGGCUUACUAUUUUUAACAUUUUUAUUUUCUUUUCAAGAUAGCAUGAUUAACUAACAAGCCAUUUAAUGAAAGUAAAUAAUUUAAGGGAAAAGGGAAUGCUGAAAGGAUAAAUAUGGAUAACUACCGAUUUUACCUUUCGGCGAGGGUUCAAUGUUUUAAGUCUUCUGAACAAGACUUCUCACCGUGUUUAUUCUUCAGGCGCGUCAUUUGAUUCAAGUGUGGACCUUGACAUCUGCACCUCUUGAUACGGUGUCAUGCAUGUUCUUUGUUUGCCCAGCAGUUCGAUGUGCGGCAUUGGCAACAUCCUGCUUAGUGUGUUUGUGCUCGUAGAUCUAGGUUUUUCACUUGGUGGAGUCUGGAAGAUGUAAAACUCCUCUAUAUUUUGCUCGAAGUGUACCUGCUCAUAGAGACAAGGCAGAGAUCAAGUGCAUGGGCCCUGUUGGUGGAAAACACCAACAGAACCAAAAGUGUAUUUGUUCUUCUCUAACCUUAAGCAUAGUGAGCAAGAUGAAGUUGAUGGAUAAUAAGAUCAUGAGUGUAGCAUUUAAAACAUUUGUCAGAUCAGAUCGCUCAACCUAAUGGAA
rnacentral:lncRNA from 1 species